GUGGCCGUAGCUCAACUGGCAGAGCGCCUCGCUGUGGCCGAGGUGGUUGCGCGUUCAAAUCGCGUCGGUCACCCCA
rnacentral:tRNA from 5 species